GAUGAACGCUAGCGGCAGGCUUAAUACAUGCAAGUCGAGGGGCAGCACAGAUAGCAAUAUUGGGUGGCGACCGGCAAACGGGUGCGGAACACGUACACAACCUUCCUUUUGGUGGGGGAUAGCCUUUGGAAACGGAGAUUAAUACCCCAUAAGAUAUUGUGACCGCAUGGUUAUGAUAUUAAAGAUUUAUUGCCAGAAGAUGGGUGUGCGUAUGAUUAGGUAGUUGGUGAGGUAAAGGCUCACCAAGCCGACGAUCAUUAACUGGUGUGAGAGCACGACCGGUCACACGGGAACUGAGACACGGGCCCGACUCCUACGGGAGGCAGCAGUAAGGAAUAUUGGUCAAUGGACGGAAGUCUGAACCAGCCAUGCCGCGUGGAGGAUGAAGGUCCUCUGGAUUGUAAACUUCUUUUAUAUGGGGCGAAAAAGGGCCAUUCUUGGUCAACUGACGGUACCAUAUGAAUAAGCACCGGCUAACUCCGUGCCAGCAGCCGCCGUAAUAC
rnacentral:rRNA from 1 species